ACCACCGUAUGAGUUGCUGCCACCUAGUGACUGGAGGCUUGCUAUCAUUCAAGCAUCACAGCAGCGGUACACUUACAUGUCCAGGGUGCCAUAUGCGAUUAGAAGCCCCUCAAGCCCCGCCGGCACCUCACUAUGCACCCCCCAGGAGGGCCCGCCCCACUAUUUAAGAAGUACUGAAUUAAAGGAUGGUGCUUUUGAAUUGUAGGGUUGUUGGUUUGAAUCCCAUGACUGGUAGGCAGUGAAGUUGUAGGGGGAGGGUUAGGAUGAUUCUGAGGACCCCUGACUGAUAGGUGCCCAAAAAUUAGAUGUAUUAUAAUAUUACUAUAAAAUUCUGCUUUGAGGUUUUUCUGUUGGUGGGUAUCAGUCUUAAUUCUUAAAGUGAAUUCUGCACAACAUGUAGAAAUGUAUUCGUGUUCUUAAGUGUGUUACAUACUUAGGUGCCCAUGGCCAUACCCUUCCAUGGGGCCCAGAAAUCCUGGCAACACCCCUGUUGGUUGGACUGUGAUCUGUCCAACAAGAACAGAAAUAUGACCCAACUCCAUGGGCUCAGUCAUGUUGAACCCACUGUUCCACUAUUCCACGUAACUACUGCUCUGCAAUAUUUAACACACAACAGUGUUUGGUUCGUUACUGAGCUGCUCCAACACAGACCACUGUUUUCUUCUCUGCCAGAUUCAUUCAUCAUCAAAGCAGCAGAUCAUGUAUUUUUGUUCUUUCAUUUUUUUUAUAUAUUUUUUUCACACAACCACUUUUCACCUCUCUCCACUGAACUUCUCACUGUUUGCUCUCCCUCCCUCACUCACAAUGUUUUUGUUUCCCUCUCUGUCUUUUCAGUCACAUUUCAAUGGAACUGAGCAAACCUGUUCAUUGUCCCUGAGGUAGAAGGAAAAACACAAGAAAGCGAUGCAGUGUAUUGUAGCAGCUUGGCUCACAGCAGAUGGAACACGGCCCCUAAAAAACUGACCCACUCCAUUCAGCGUAAAUCAGUUCGCUUCAUAUGGGAGACCCACUGUACAGGAGAGAAUGGAGAAAAUCCAGUGUGUGGCUCACAUCUCCGACUGGUCUGCAUCAUCACUGAUGGAGACAUUCGUGGUGCCCAUGGUUCAGUAUGGAACGGCUGCUGUUCUGCUAGAUUAGGAACGAGGUCCAGCCAGUGAGACGUCAACUCAGAUUACUGAUGUGGGGUGAUGUGUUUUAAGUUUGUCCUUCAUUACUGAGUUAAGUGACAUUUUCUGACCUACACUUGCCUGCGCCUCCUAAACAAUUGUCACGCCAUUUUGGAUAAUCAUUUUUUAACUUGAUCUUUCCAGCCUUCCUGCAAGGACACACACAAUACGUUCUCCCACAAUGCACUGAGCUAUCUUCGGGAGAAGUGUUUAUUAUUCCUGCAUAUGCACCCAACUGCUGACCAUCUCACACACACAUACACAUAAAUAUGUAUGUAUACAAAUAUAUACAUAUAUGUCUAAAUAUAUACACAGCU